AGAGUUUGAUCAUGGCUCAGGACGAACGCUGGCGGCGUGCAUAAUACAUGCAAGUCGAGCGCGGGAAGCAUACAGAAGCCUUCGGGUGGACGUAUGUGGAACGAGCGGCGGACGGGUGAGUAACACGUGGGCAACCUGCCUACAAGAUCGGGAUAACACCGGGAAACCGGUGCUAAUACCGGAUGAUACUUCGUAUCACAUGAUGCGAAGAUGAAAGACGGUUUCGGCUGUCACUUGUAGAUGGGCCCGCGGCGCAUUAGCUAGUUGGUGAGAUAACAGCUCACCAAGGCAACGAUGCGUAGCCGACCUGAGAGGGUGAUCGGCCACACUGGGACUGAGACACGGCCCAGACUCCUACGGGAGGCAGCAGUAGGGAAUCUUCCGCAAUGGACGAAAGUCUGACGGAGCAACGCCGCGUGAGUGAUGAAGGUUUUCGGAUCGUAAAACUCUGUUGUAAGGGAAGAACAAGUACGACGUAACUACUCGUACCUUGACGGUACCUUACCAGAAAGCCACGGCUAACUACGUGCCAGCAGCCGCGGUAAUACGUAGGUGGCAAGCGUUGUCCGGAAUUAUUGGGCGUAAAGCGCGCGCAGGCGGUUUUUUAAGUCUGAUGUGAAAUCUUAUGGCUUAACCAUAAGCGUGCAUUGGAAACUGGAGAGCUUGAGUACAGAAGAGGAGAGUGGAAUUCCACGUGUAGCGGUGAAAUGCGUAGAGAUGUGGAGGAACACCAGUGGCGAAGGCGACUCUCUGGUCUGUAACUGACGCUGAGGUGCGAAAGCGUGGGUAGCAAACAGGAUUAGAUACCCUGGUAGUCC
rnacentral:rRNA from 1 species